rnacentral:miRNA from 1 species
AAACUCCACUCAUUUCUUAUGAAAGUGCUUCAAAAGUUAGCAAUGUGUGAAUACUUUCUUAACAAGAUAGGGAAGAUUUAUUUCAAAUUAAUAGCAAACAUCAUUUUUAACAGUGAAAAAUGAUAUUCAUGUUAAAUCUUAAGCAAGGAUGGCC